rnacentral:rRNA from 1 species
GUGAGGAAUUUUCCGCAAUGGGCGAAAGCCUGACGGAGCAAUGCCGCGUGAAGGAUGAAGGCCUAUGGGUUGUAAACUUCUUUUCUCAGAAAAGAAUUAUGACGGUAUCUGAGGAAUAAGCAUCGGCUAACUCUGUGCCAGCAGCCGCGGUAAGACAGAGGAUGCAAGCGUUAUCCGGAAUGAUUGGGCGUAAAGCGUCUGUAGGUUGUUUACAAAGUAUUCUGUCAAAGAUUAGGGCUUAACCCUAGAUAGGCAGAAUAAACUUUUAAGCUAGAGUUUGGUAGAGGCAGAGGGAAUUCCCGGUGGAGCGGUGAAAUGCGUAGAUAUCGGGAGGAACACCAAAGGCGAAGGCACUCUGCUGGGCCAAUACUAACACUGAGAGACGAAAGCGAGGGGAGCAAAUGGGAUUAGAAACCCUAGUAGUCC